rnacentral:rRNA from 1 species
AUUGAACGCUGGCGGCAGGCCUAACACAUGCAAGUCGAACGACUGGCGGACGGGUGAGUAAUGUCAGGGAAACUGCCCGAUGGAGGGGGAUAACUACUGGAAACGGUAGCUAAUACCGCAUACCAUUGGAUGUGCCCAGAUGGGAUUAGCUAGUAGGGGGGGUAACGGCCCACCUAGGCAACGAUACCUAGCCGGGCUGAGAGGAUGACCAGUCACACUGGAACUGAGACACGGUCCAGACUCCUACGGGAGGCAGCAGUGGGGAAUAUUGCACAAUGGGCGCAAGCCUGAUGCAGCCAUGCCGCGUGUAUGAAGAAGGCCUUCGGUUUGUAAAGUACUUUCAGCGAGGAGGCGUUACUCGCAGAAGAAGCACCGGCUAACUCCGUGCCAGCAGCCGCGGUAAUUC